UCAUGUUAUAUAAUGUAUUUUGGUCAUACAGUCCCUUAGCCCACUGCAGUUAAUCUGUGUGUCUCUGUGUGUGUAUGCGUGUACGGCUACAUCUUCCAUCAUCCUGAGUUUUCUCCAACUCUGAAACCUUAACAGAGCUGUCUUGAAGUUUCCCACCGCAGGGGAGCAUGAAUUUGUCUAUGGGCAGAUGCAUGGAAGAUCUGGGCUUUCCUGGAACAGCUGUUGGUUCCCUUAAGUGUUCCACAUGGGUUGCUCCAACCAUUUCCCAUGCCGCCUCCCAUCUCCAGAGUGCCCUGGCCAUACCCUCUAAAUUCUCUUGAAGUCAAAGCCUUUUUCAGGGAUCAGCUUCCACAGAAGAGAAAGAUCUUUUUCUAGAAGCAUCUAUCAACAAAAAAAGCCAUGGUGGGGUAAAGUUUGUUAUUUUGGGUUUUGUUGUUGUUUGUUUUGAGACAGUUUUCUCAGACAGCCCUGGCUGUCCUGGAACUAGCUUUGUAGACCAGGCUGGCCUUGAUCCCCCUGCCUCCUGAGUGCUGACACCAAAAGCGUGCUUCACUACAGUCCAGCUCUAGCUGUGCCCCAGAGAAUGUUUUUGUUUUGUGCAGGGCAUGGAAUCAAGGCGUCGCCCAUGAUAAGCAAACAUUCUACCAAAUGAACAUCCCCAGCCUGUCCAGUAUUGUUUCUGAUCCCCAUUUGGGUAGGCCUCGGGAGGCGGACACUAAAUAGAAACAACAUCAAGCCAUCCUCAAGUUAUGCCAUCCUCAAGUUUGGCCAUAGUCAUCUGGCUCUCCUUAAUGGAGAGGGUCAUGCGCUAGUGCUCCCUUCCAGAUCUCUAGAGCCACACAGAGCCUCACGCGGGCACCAGAUCUAGGCUGUGAGCUCCAGUCCAACUCAGGUGACCAUUCAAGAACUGGGCACACCUGGCGCUGGGCCCUAACCCCGCCCCGGGCAGCCGCACCCCGGACGCUCUCGGGGAGCAGGCGGCGGCGGGCCACCGAGGGCCAUGGCGGCGGCGGCACCGGUGUGCGGCUCGCAGGCGUCCACGGCCGGCGCCGCGCCCGCGCCCGCGCCCGCUCCCGCUCCCGCGGCCGGCCUGGGCCGCUGCCGCAUGGCGCUGCUGCUGGCGGUAGCCUUGGACGUGGCGGGCAUGGCGGCGCUGCUGACCGGCGUGUUCGCGCAGCUGCAGGUGCGCGGCCGCGACUUCGGGGACCUGCUCAUCUAUUCGGGGGCGCUGCUGGUCUUCUUGAGCUUGCUGGGCUGGAUCCUCUGGUACACCGGCAACAUCGAGAUAUCGCGCCAGGAGCUCGAGCGCGACUACGGCCUGCGGCCCUCGGCGAUCGCCCGCCUCGCGCGCAAGCUGUCCCGCCGCUGGUCGGCGCCCGCCACCGCCAGUCCCCGGGGGACACCGGGUCUCCGCGCCGCGCACAGAGCGGCCCGCGCGCCCCAGCCGGCCGCCCCCGGCUCCCGCCGCGUGCGUCUGCAGCUCGCCACGCUUGAGGCGGGGCCCGGAACGGCGGGCGCGGGCAGCGAGUGAGCCUCAGCAAAACGGGCUGGAGAGAUGGCUCAGAGGUGAGAGGACCAACUGCUCUUGCAGAGGACCUGAAUUCCAUUCCUAGAACCCAUAUGUCAGCUCACAAACACCCUCAUCCUCAACCUGACGAGAUGUGCCGCUGCCCUGUUCAUCACUUAGCCCCAGGAAACCCAACUGUCCCCUCACUUGGAUAAAUGUUUCAGUUUGGA